rnacentral:rRNA from 1 species
GACGAACGCUGGCGGCGUGCUUAACACAUGCAAGUCGACAUGAGUGGAGAACGGGUGAGUAAUACGAGGGUAACCUGCCCUACUUAUUGGGAUAAGACUUGGAAACGGGGUAUAAUACAGAAUAAAGGGGGAUGGGCUCGCGGACUAUCGGCGUGUGGGUGGGGUGAUGGCCUACCAAGGCGGUGACGGGUAGCAGGGCUGAGAGGGUGACCGGCCACAUUGAGACUGAGCUACGGCCCAGACGACUACGCGGGGGAGCAUUUUGGGAUAUUGCACAAUGUGCGAAAGCCUGAUGCAGCGUCGCUGCAUGGGGGAUGAAGGCUUUCGGGUUGUAAUCCUCUUUCUCAAUCGAACGGGUAUGUGACGAAGAAGCGCCGGCUAACUACGUGCCAGCCGCCGCGGUAAUAC